rnacentral:misc_RNA from 1 species
ACGAAUUUCAAUUCGGUCGUCUGUGCUGGUGGCAACACAUGUGCACGUCGAUCGUAAUUCCAUUCUCCUUUCAAUCGUCCAAGUGUGUUCAGUCGACCUCUAGGUCGAAGAAGCGUGGCUGUCAGGCUCGUUUCGUUUGAAUGCACAUUGGUUAUUUCACCCACUCUGGGUACUUGAAACAAAGAAAUAUAUUGUAUAAACUAUA